AGAGUUUGAUCCUGGCUCAGGACGAACGCUGGCGGUGUGCUUCACACAUGCAAGUCGAACGAGGUAGCAAUACCUAGUGGCGGACGGGUGAGUAACGCGUGGGAAUCUGCCUUUAGAUGGGGGAUAACGAGCCGAAAGGUUCGCUAAUACCGCAUAUGCCGCAAGGUGAAAGGAGUAAUCCGUCUAAAGAUGAGCCCGCGUCCGAUUAGCUAGUUGGUGGGGUAAAGGCCUACCAAGGCGACGAUCGGUAGCUGGUCUGAGAGGAUGAUCAGCCACAAUGGGACUGAGACACGGCCCAUACUCCUACGGGAGGCAGCAGUGGGGAAUUUUACGCAAUGGGGGAAACCCUGACGUAGCGACACCGCGUGAGCGAAGAAGCCCCUUGGGGUGUAAAGCUCUGUCAGCUGGAACGAAACAAAUGACGGUACCUGUGGAGGAAGCAUCGGCUAACUACGUGCCAGCAGCCGCGGUAAGACGUAGGAUGCAAGCGUUGUCCGGAUUUAUUGGGCGUAAAGAGUUCGUAGGCGGUUAUUUAAGUCUGGUGUUAAAUACUGUGGCCCAACCACAGAACUGCAUUGGAUACUGGAUGACUUGAGUGCGGUAGAGGCGAGUGGAAUUCCCAGUGUAGCGGUGAAAUGCGUAGA
rnacentral:rRNA from 1 species